GGACCGCCCCCGCGGGGACUCCGCCUCCCGGCGGCGCGGGGGCCCCACCCUGGCUCGCUCCCUGCGGUCAUUCCCGCGGCCUCCAGCUCUCGGCUUCUCGGGAAAUAACUCUGCUUAGGAGUCAGCGAAGCACCUCUUGUGGUACCUGCAAACAUAAGCCCCAUUAGAGGGCUUCCUCUGGGAGCAGCUGCAAAAACUGGGGCACCAGACAUGUGGACGAGCUCCUUUUUGGGAUAUACUGAUGACCUACCUGGAGUGAGGCAGAGGGAGAACAGGAAGAUGUACCAGUCUCUGUGGUUUCUGGAGAAUAUUGCAGUUGGCCUCCAGAAGUGUUUUAAAUUAGAAACCUGCUCCUCAAACCAAAGCUUUAAAGAAUAAUUCACUUAAGAGCAGAAAUAUUGAAACUGAGAAAAAAUACAAGAUAAAAUUUUCAAAACAUUUUUCCAGGUAACUCUAGAUUCUGAUGAGAGUAAGAAGAACACCAGACAGGCAUCUGGGAUCUGAAGAUGUUGGUGAAAGCUGCAAUACGUUCUGUUCUAUGGUACCAUAACUUCCAAAGCCAUAGAAGUCGGAUUCUGGUAAAUGUCCAUCUCUGCUCAGCAAUGCCAAGACUCAUGACCCUGUGCCAUAUCCACCUCUUAUCAUCUAGAUUCUGCAAGCUGCUUUCAUCUACUGUAGCUGCUGACAAGUCCACCCAGUCCACCCUUUAAAACCUUCAGGGACACAAUGUUUCAAAAGGCAAGCCACAGCAGUUUUAAGCAACUCUGAAGAAAGUUCCUUUUUAAUUUGACUAACCUGGUUUGUAAAUUUUAGAUCCUGCCCUACUGAAUUUCUCCUCUUCUCAGUACCAGUAGGUAACAAAAUAGUUUACCAUUCAAAGAAUCUAAUCCUAAAACCAGGAGCAAAAAAAUCAUUUAGCUCUACUUUUACCAAACAGAUAAGUCAGAAUAAUGAUGAAAAGCACUUUCUAUUUGGAAGUCAAAAUGUAACAGAUCAGUACUGGUUCAGUUCAAGAAAAAUGAAAGGUUUCCACGUACACAGCAUUUCCUACUUUGCUGGGCUUCUUUCACUGUGUAAAAAAUUAAAAAGUAUCAACAUGAAAAGAUUCAGAUUAUAGUCAAUAUUAACAUCAGUUCUGUCUGCAAAUAGUUUAUUCUCUAUAUUUCUAUUUACAUCUGUGAUUCUGCAAUAAACAGUUCUAAUCAA